GGGAGGGGGUCCUGUGAUGGUAUCAGUCAGAUGCCUGUCUGGCCACUCCCGCUGAGGGGACUUGGGCUCCUCUUAGCAUUGGCAGGCCGGUAUAAACUUCCACCUCGGAUCGAGCUGUGCCUGAUGCUGCCUUAAGCCUUAUGAGGUCGCCACGGAACCGCAGCAUCCUAGAAACUCCUGGAGGGCAGAGUCAUGCCUGCCAUCUUCAUCAUUGCAUUACCAGCACCCAGCACAGUGCCUGGCACAAAAGAAUUGCUCAAUAAAUGAAUCAGGAUGAAUGGACAAAUACACGGAUAGGCAGUUUGAACUACAGAUGAGCUUAAAUACUUUGUGCUUUUCUUAGUCAAACAUGUGCAAUUAAGCAUAAUGAUAUGACCACACCUGUGUGUCAUAUACCACACCUGUGUCUUGCCUGAUGUUCUUUGCAGUCACUAAAUGAAGUCAAUUGUGCCUGUUUUCACAGUUCUGUUUUCAACCUAAUGAUCUGUUUCUUUUAACUUCUGACUGUUGGCUUUGUUUGGGUUUCUUAGCCUGACAAAGUGACAGAUAUUGGUAUGUGCUCUUUUGUUUACAUGUCACGAACUUUAAAAAUGCCUUUGCUUUUGGUAAGAAACCCUAGUUAAGACAGUCUAGUGGUCAGGAUGAUUUGGGUUCUGGUGCAGUAACAACAAUCCCCAAAUCUCAGUGGCACCAUGCAGUGACGUAUUUGUUUGUUUGUUUUUGAGAAAGGGUCUCACUCUGUCACCCAGGCUAGAGUGCAGUGGCACAAUCUCAGCUCACUGCCACCUCUGCCUCCCAGACUCAAGCGAUUCUCCUGCUUCCUGAGUAGCUGGGAUUACAGGCCCAUGUCACUACUGUCUGCCUAAUUUUUGUACUUUAGUAGAGACAGGAUUUCACCAUGUUAGCCAGGCUGGUCUUGAACUCCUGACCUCAAAUGAUCCACCUGCCUUGGCCUCCCAAAGUGCUGGGAUGACAGGCAUGAGCCACCAUGCCUGGCCACAGUGAGGCUUGUUCUUGGUCACGUUGAAUGUCUGGGCUGUGUUAGGGCAUUGUGGGGUGGUCUGUUCAUUGUGUUCACUCAGGGAUCCAGGCUGACAAAAGCCCCAUCUCUGCAUGUGUCCUUGAUCACCACUUCAGGGGAAAGGGAAUGUGGUGGAUCACAGAGCCUCUAAACACUUCCACCUGGAGGUGACUCAAGUUGCCCCUGCUCAUGGUUCAUUGGAAAAAACGGAUCACAGAGUCAUGGACAACUUCUCUGUGCCUGGAAAGGGAACCAAAAUAUGAAUAGCUACAUUGAUUUUCCCUAGCUAUUACACAGAAGGCCUCAUUUAAGCGCAGUUACUUAUUUGUGUUUUGAAGCUAACUGUAGUCCAUCAACCUUCAGAGAAGAUAUGUGCACUUCCAAGCUAUUAUUAUUAUUUUUUUUUUUGAGAUAGAGUCUCACUCUGUUGCUCAGGCUGGAGUGCAGUGGCAUGAUCAUGGAUCACUGCAACUUCUGCCUCCUGGGUUCAAGUGAUUUUCGUGCCCCAGUCUCCCAAAGUACUGGGAUUACAGACACCCACCACCGCGACUGGCUAAGUUUUGUAGUUUUAGUAGAGAUGGGGUUUCACCAUGUUGGCCUGGCUGAUCUGGAACUCCUGACCUCAGGUGAUCCACCUGCCUUGGCCUCCCAAAGUGCUGAGAUGACAGGCGUGAGCUGCCGCACCCAGCCUUGAGUAUGAUUUUUGAUUCGGAAGGCCAGAGUUAGGGUUUUAGUCUGAGGACAGUAUGAUGUGAAGGUGAAAAGCAGAGCUUGGCUGUGAGUUUGCUGGGAUUCCUGUACUGCUUCUACAGCUCUUUGGCUGUGUGACCGUCACCUUUGGCAAGUUCCUU
rnacentral:lncRNA from 1 species